GCUCUGGGAGUCGGAUUAAGCCAUGCUAGCGGCGGGCAGCUCGGCUGCCCCGCGAAAAGCUCAGUAACACGUGAUCAAUCUACCCUUGGGACGGGUAUAACCCCGGGAAACUGGGGAUAAUACCCGAUAGGUGGGGGUUCUGGAAAGGUCCCUCGUCGAAAGGCUCAGGCGCCUAAGGAUGAGAUUGCGGCCUAUUAGGUAGUUGGUGAGGUAAAGGCUCACCAAGCCAGAGAUGGGUACGGGCCCUGAGAGGGGGAGCCCGGAGAUGGAGACUGAGACAAGGCUCCAGGCCCUACGGGGCGCAGCAGGUGCGAAAAUUCCGCAAUGCGUGCAAGCGUGACGGAGUGACUCCCAGUGCCGAUGGUCUAACGACCGUCGGCUUUUCUGGAACGUAAAAAGUUUCGGGUAAUAAGGGCCGGGUAAGACUGGUGCCAGCCGCCGCGGUAACAC
rnacentral:rRNA from 1 species